rnacentral:rRNA from 1 species
UACGAAGGGGGCGAGCGUUGUUCGGAAUUACUGGGCGUAAAGGGCGCGUAGGCGGCCGAUCAAGUUAGAUGUGAAAGUCCUGGGCUUAACCUGGGGACUGCAUUUGAUACUGAUUGGCUUGAAUUCGGGAGAGGAUAGCGGAAUUCCCAGUGUAGAGGUGAAAUUCGUAGAUAUUGGGAAGAACACCGGUGGCGAAGGCGUCUAUCUGGACCGACAUUGACGCUGAGGCGCGAAAGCGUGGGGAGCAAACAGG